rnacentral:rRNA from 1 species
CGGACGGGUGAGUAACGCGUGGGCAACCUGCCCUGUACUGGGGGAUAACACUUAGAAAUAGGUGCUAAUACCGCAUAAGCGCACAGCUUCGCAUGAAGCGGUGUGAAAAACUCUGGUGGUAUACGAUGGUUCCGCGUCUGAUUAGCUAGUUGGUGGGGUAAUGGCCUACCAAGGCAACGAUCAGUAGCCGGCCUGAGAGGGUGAACGGCCACAUUGGGACUGAGACACGGCCCAAACUCCUACGGAAGGCAGCAG